CUUAAAUAGCUUAAAUAUAAAGCUUGAUAUUGAAGAUAUCACGAUAAGUUAUACUUUUUAAGUGAA
rnacentral:tRNA from 1 species